AAAGGAGAGUUGUCCAAAGGCUGGAAUAUCUGAACUCUGAACCCAUUCUCCCCAAAUGGAUACAGCCCAGACACACAUGCCUGUUCCUGAAGCUCCUACUGUCAAACGCGGAGGAUUACAUUUCGUCAAGGGCACUUGGUUCGAUUCCUGCUUUGGCCUCUCCAUUACUGAUGGCCUCCAAGCUUGGCUUCAGAGGAUGAGGUGAGUGAGAGGGCGUCGCAGUGGGAGCAGCCAGUAAGUGAAUACAUCGACUUGGCGGAGCGGUACCUAGGGUUUCAACAGCCUGGUUUGGUCUAUGGGUUUGCCGAUGCUGGUGAUGUCUCUAUAAGAGUUAGUUGCUUUUGUUUUUUUUUUCCUUUUCAAUUUUCAUUUUUUUUUUCUUUAUUUUUUGUGUGUUUUGAUUACUGUUUGUUUCUGAGAAAAUUUUAGAGAGAAAUUACAAAUCCUGCCACCAAAGAAAAAUUAAGCGCCCACCAGGUGAAUUGUGUCUAUGAACUAUGAAGUUGUUACAGGAUCUAGAAAGCAGAAACCUGCUAGUAGAGAGCAGAUUAUCGUGGACCAUUGAGAAGGAAGGAACUAAGCUUGAAUGGUGAUGGAAAUGUCAGCCGUCACCUAAUAGUAAGAAGACUACAGCUGGGAUUUUGCAACGUCCUUAUGAAUUUAAAUAUAAAGCUAAGUUCCUGAAUUCAAAGAAAGUCAAGCUGAGGGAGCUUCGAGAUCAGUGUUCUAAGCAGAAGACAGUUGGGAAAUUGCCAGAAGAAGAUGAAGAGUUCACAGACAGAACUUGAGAUCAUGGAUGAAGUGAGGACAAGGAGAGCCAAGAAUCUCCAAAGAAACGUGAUGGCACCUCGAAGGAUGUAGGACCAAGUAGGCUGGUGGACGAAAGAGGAGUAGCCGGAGAUAGAAUGUUAACCUUUUGCAUUAUCAUAUAAGUUCUCUUUAUUUUUACUUCCCUCUCUAUCACCUCCCCAUCCCAGCCUACUUGGUGCCAAAGAGCUGGUUUUUGGGAGUUAAAAAACAUAAAAUUUGUUUGGAUAAAUAUUUUUGAAAGGAUUGAGUUUAAAUUACGAAGAUAGAAAUUAUAUUUGUUAACAUAUAACUAAAAUUUUUAUGUUUUAUAACAAAUAAAAAAUAAAAAAUUGUGUUUUCCAAAAACAAUUAAAUACUUUUAACUGAUUGUUUUUUCCCAAUAACAAUUAACCAAAAAUAGCUAAAUAAAUAUGUUUUAAUAUUUUUCCCUUUUUGAAAACAAAAAAUAGUUUCUGCAUAGGCCCUAAAUCUUUUUUUUAAAAAUACUAUCCACAAAUAUGUUUGAAAUAGAACUUUGACCACACAUAUCUAACUCACCGAUUAUCAGUUGUCAGUUCUGCCACCUCUCAUUGGUGGCCCUAAAUCUAAUUGAUUCUGGAAUUACGAUGUGAAAAUAAAUCCAGCUAUUUGGGAUUGGAUUCAGAUCCCCGGCAAUUGUAUAUCCCUGAAAUUGUGCCUGCUAUCUCAAUUACCAGGGAUCUAAAUCCAAAUCCAGGAUUUCUUCUCACAAAAGCGCUUUAGAAAAGCAAAAAAACAAAGUGGUGCAUCAGAAUAUUUUAUCAAAAUAAAUCAAAA